GAGGCUCCCUUCUGGCAGCCAGGCUGGGAAGCUGGUGAUCUAGAAUUAGGCUUGGAGGGUCUGCAUGUGACAGGACCAGCCUUUUCAGGACUGAAACCCUCCCUUCCAGAUGGUUUGGUGCCAGUUUGUGUGUGCUGUCCCUCAGUCUGGAUGAGCAUGUGGGGCUCUGGUGGCUGCCACAUGGAGCUCAGCCCUGCCUGGGCCAGCAAAGGGAGCAGUGUCCUGUGGCCAGCAUGCCUCCAUAUGGAUGAGAAGGAAGAAUCUGUCUGCAUAGCUCUGGGUGGACUUUGUGCAAUGAAGCUGAAACACCAGAAGACCUGCUCAGCCAACUCUGCCUGCCCCACCUCCCUGCUGAGCGCUGUGAUUCAUCCUCGAGUAAUUAACCAGCAGCAGCAGCAGCACAGAGAGUACCUGCCUCGGCACAAGUGUGAAAACACAUCUACACCUAACGGGAGCCGGACUGAAGGGUUCCACUUUGAGUGACACCCAGGGAGCUGCAAAGUGACAAGAAGACAGAGUUGCCAAAACUCCCCAAACGCGGUCUGGUUUCUAUGCAACGUCCUUUUCAUGGGAUGAGAUGAUGAUGAUGAUGAUGCCUGGGUGUGAAGUCUGCUCCACUGCCUUCAGUGCAAGUCCUUGGCACACCUCUGGCUUCA